rnacentral:rRNA from 1 species
UACGUAGGGGGCAAGCGUUGUCCGGAAUCAUUGGGCGUAAAGAGCGUGUAGGCGGCCAGAUAAGUCCGCUGUGAAAUCUCGAGGCUCAACUUCGAGCUGUCGGUGGAAACUGUCUGGCUAGAGUCCGGAAGAGGAGAAUGGAAUUCCUGGUGUAGCGGUGAAAUGCGCAGAUAUCAGGAGGAACACCGGUGGCGAAGGCGGUUCUCUGGGCCUUACCUGACGCUGAGGAGCGAAAGCGUGGGGAGCGAACAGG